UGCCAUUGUUGUUGAACCUUUAUAAAUAUGUUUUAGGAAAAGACAUUUAUAACAUUUUUAACAUGAGUAUUUUAGGCUCAAUAGUCCUGUUCAUCAUAAAAGCAAUCGUCGCUUUACUUUAGAAAAAUGAAGCUUUUCGUUUUUUGCCUAAUCUUUUUCUUGGUUUCUGCAUAUGCCAUACCAUAUGAAAAAAGCGAUGCUCUCGGAGGGUUGAAUAAAACGAAAGGAAAAGUUCCAGAAGCUUCCAAUGAGAAGAAAGAUACUAUUCUUAAACGAUAUGGAAACGGAAGAAUUGGACGCUUAGAGUUCUUUAGAUUUUAUUUGGAUAGGAAAAAUAAAGAUAGGAAGAAAAGAUAUUAAUCAAAUGUCAACAACAUAUUUGAAAUAAUUUUAAAGAUGAAGAAUCAUGGCGUUUGAAGGAUAAAAUGAUAUUGUUUUCUACUUUUAUUGAAGAUAUGUAUAUUUGUUAAUACUAUAAAUAAAGCUUUUCUUUCGAAUUCAGAAA